CGGGGCGUGGCGCAGCCUGGUAGCGCACUUGCUUCGGGAGCAAGGGGUCGGUGGUUCAAAUCCACUCGCCCCGACCA
rnacentral:tRNA from 1 species